rnacentral:misc_RNA from 1 species
UUUCCGUAGGUGAACCUGCGGAAGGAUCAUUAUUGUAUAACCGAGGUGCGAGGGCUGUCGCUGACCCGAAAGGUCGUGCACGCCCGAGUGCCCUCACACACAUCCAUCUCACCCCUAUGUGCACCACCGCGUGGGUCCCCCUUUGGCUUGUUCGGAGGGGGGCUUACGUUUUCACACAAACUUUGUAUACAGUGUAGAAUGUAUUUUUUGUUUUUGCGAUCACGCAAUCAAUACAACUUUCAACAACGGAUCUCUUGGCUCUCGCAUCUAUGAAGAACGCAGC